CCAGGCAGGUGGCCGUUAUGCGGUGUUGUGGUGCUUAAAUUGGCUUGGGAUCCUUACCUGCUUGACUUAGUGCUACUGAUAUUGUCACCUUUAGCCCACUGUUAUUCCGUUCCCUUCCCUUUUGGUAUCAGAGCCUCAGUAUCAUAUUACUAUUAUCAUUAUAGUCCUAAAAACUUGCCUUAUUGAAAAAUUUGGACUUGUCAAAAAAUUUUAUUUAGUUUUGCCUUAUUAAUUAUUUUAACAUGGAUUUAAAUGCCUGUUUGUACACUUACAAUAAAGUAUUUGUUUAUACAGGAGACAUAGAAUUUGCUAAAACUACAAAAAAAUUAAUGGAAACAUAUCCUAUUACUUUCCAA
rnacentral:lncRNA from 1 species